rnacentral:misc_RNA from 1 species
CCCUCCCCCCCUCCACGCCCCCGGGCCGAGUCAGGCUCCCACCCCGCGUGGCCGUGGCCGACCCUGCCGAACGGCACCGCGCUCGUCUCCGGCCAAAGGCAAGGCAGCCCAGAAAUGAAAUUGGCUAAGUGAAGUCACCGGGCAUCCGCUCCGUGCGCCCUGGGCAAAAACAGCAGCUCCGCAACGCGUCCGGGGCCAAAAACAGCAGGUCGGCCACGUGGUCCGUGAGCAGCCCAAGUCCCCGGAAAGCCGGCUUUCCUACGCGUGACGGAUAUGCGCCCGGGGCAGUUCGCCCAGGCGGCAGGGCUGAAAACCAGCGGUUCGCCCAGGCGCCGCAGCUGAGACGCAGCGGUUCGGCAGGGCGGUCCGCGGACUGGCCAAGUCCCCCGGGCCGACGGCACCCGGUGGGCGGAAACAGCGGUUCGCCCUGGCGCCAGGGCCGAAAACCAGCAGUUCGCCCAGGCGGUCCGCGGAAGACAGGCCAAGUCCCCGGGCCGACGGCGCCCGCGGGGCGGAAACAGCGGUUCGCCCUGGCGCCAGGGCCGAAAACCAGCAGUUCGCCCAGGCGCCGGCGCUGAGACGCAGCGGUUCGGCAGGGCGGUCCGCGGAAGACAGGCCAAGUCCCCGGGCCGACGGCGCCCGCGGGGCGGAGACAGCUGUUCGCCCUGGCGCCAGGGCUGAAAACCAGCAGUUCGCCUAGGCGCCGGCGCUGAGACGCAGCGGUUCGGCAGGGCGGUCCGCGGAGAGCCGCAGUCCCCGGCCCGACGGCGCCCGCGGGGCGGAAACAGCGGUUCGCCCUGGCGCCAGGGCUGAAAACCAGCAGUUCGCCCAGGCGCCGGAGCUGAGACGCAGCGGUUCGGCAGGGCGGUCCGCGGACAGCCCAAGUCCCGGGCUACGGGGCGUGCACACGGCUUAGGUGCCACCGCACCAAACACCACAGGGCCUGAGCAUGCACCUACGGACGGCGGCAAAGUGUGCGUCUUCGGAUCGAUGGAUGGAUGGGUGGGCGGAUGGCUGGAUGGAUUGGCGGGUGGAUGGCGAGGAACGCACCACGCGUGACCGAUAUGCCUCAUGAGGUCAUGGGAGAAGGAGCAGCCCAAGUCCCUGGGAAAGCCGGCCUUCAUACGCGCAUCGAGGUGCACGCGGCGCAAAAACUGCAGUUCCGCAUGGUGUCUAGGUGAAGGGCACGGCGAAAACGAGCCAAGAAAGGGCGAAAAAUGACCCAAAACGGGCCACGGACGGCCCGCGGGUCCCGGGCCCACCGAGGUGGCCCACGGGGCCCAAGGGACCCACCCAUGGUGGCCCCACCCAAAAAGUCCAAGGUUCGGUCCAUCCACGGAAAACGACUGCCGGGCGCCUCCGGGGCGGAAACCAGCGUUUCUGAGCAAAAACUAGCCAAAACUGCAUAUCACAUGGAUUUCCUGAGGUCCUCCAAAACGUGUGAAGGAACCAUACAGAAAACUGCUAGAACUCCUGGGGGGGCUGGAUGCCCCUCGGGUAUAUUAGGGGUAGAGGGUUCGGUUGGAGGAGACCUCGAGUGAAAUGGUGGAAACCACAAGGUUUUUGAUUCCAUGUUCUCGUGAGGCUCCUCCAAAAAGUCGGUCACGCAUCCCCCGGCCUCCGUGGCCGGCCGACGACCGGCCGUGGCUAGCUUCGGCUGGCUGCAGCUGGUUGUUGGCUGGCCAUGGCUGGCUGGCAUGCGGCCUUCGGUGGCUGCAUGCUAAGUGACCGCACUGGGAGAAGUUUCGGCGUCGCCUGACCUUCGUGGCUGGCUUGUAGCCUACGGCGGCCUGCUUCGGCGGGCUGCUAUGGGCCGCGGGCUGGCUCGGUGGCCAGCGUGGUGUCGGAACGACUCCCUGCCUCCCUGGGUGGCUGGCUGCCUACGGCGGCCUGCUUGGGUGGGCUGCUGCGGGCGACUGCCUAGCUGGGAGGGCUAGCGUGUUGUUGGAACGGAUUCGGUGACUUGCGGCCUCCUUGGACGGUCGGCAGCCUGCGGUGGCCUGCUUCGGCGGGCUGCUUUGGGCAGCUGGCUGCCUAGGGUGGCUAGCUUGUUGUUGGAACUGUUUUGAUGAUGCGCCGCCUUCUUGGCCGGGCGGAAGCCUGCGGCGGCCUGCUUUGGCGGGAUGCUGUGGGUAGCUGGCUGGCUGGGGUGGCCAACGUGUUGUUGGGAUUGUUUCGGUGACUCGCGGCCUUCUUGGACGGCCGGCAGCCUGUGGUGGCCUGCUUCUGCGGGCUGCUGCGGGCAGCUGGCUCCCAUGGGAGGAAUCUUGUUGCUGGAACGGUUUCGGCUGCACGGUUUUGGCCCGCUGUUGGAUAAGUUUCGGUUUCUCUCGCGCUCUGUGGACCCUCGGUUGCCGUCCUCGCAAGCAGACUCAUCGUGCCUAGCGCGGAGGGAUGCUUUGGAUGGCUUAACCGUCGUGGCUACGCUGGCGCAUGAGUUGUUUUGGACCUGUGACUGCUUGGAGGACCCCCGCCGGCGUGCGGCUGACUCCUAGCGCCAGCGUCCCUUCAUUCGUGCGGGCACCUUUUGCCUGCUGCGUUGACGAGUGCUUGCGUGCUGCUACCUGUCCCACGGGAAGUUGCGUUCGGUUACGUGUUGCCUUCGUCGAGCGCACCCUCUGGGUGUGGCUCGUCGGCUCUAGAGCACUUGCGGCGUUGCCUCGUGAUGUCGUCCUCCUAGGGUGGCACCGCCAAGGACACCUCGCUUGUGCUUUUGGUUGCGGAUGCGGCUGAUGCCGAAGGCCGGAGGGCGUUGGCCUCCCGUGCCUAGAAACCGAGUCCGUUUGGAAACAACGACAGCCAGCCCGGUCGAUGCCUCGUGCGGAGGCCGGCGCCGGCUCGUCGGCGAGGACGUGC